UACGAAGGGGGCUAGCGUUGCUCGGAAUCACUGGGCGUAAAGGGUGCGUAGGCGGGUCUUUAAGUCAGGGGUGAAAUCCUGGAGCUCAACUCCAGAACUGCCUUUGAUACUGAAGAUCUUGAGUUCGGAGAGGUGAGUGGAACUGCGAGUGUAGAGGUGAAAUUCGUAGAUAUUCGCAAGAACACCAGUGGCGGAAGGCGGCUCACCUGGCCCGAUACCUGAACGCUGAGGCACGAAAGCGUGGGAAGCCAAACAGGGA
rnacentral:rRNA from 1 species